rnacentral:lncRNA from 1 species
CCAGAGCUUGGGGGUCUCCUGCAGCAGACUACUUUUUCUUGUUUAAUCUGCUCCUCCCGGAAGACCUUGUAAAAUCCUGGGGAAACAGUAGCCAACAGAGAGCAUUCACUUAAGACCAAGCAGCAGAGCAGCACUUUGGUAUUCCCUGAAGACACAAGAGAAAUCCCCAGGAACCAAGUGGAAAUGGUCUCAGGAACAAAUUCAUUCUGGUUUCGCGCAAUCCUUGGAAGCUGAUCAUCAGCAGUCACUACUGCAUUACUUUCAGAGCCAGAAACCGUAUCGCUGAGAGAUGGCAGCUCCCGCGUGCAUCGCAAGGACUGUUACUUCCCAAAGUCACGAUUCCCGAGGGCCCGUCCAGCGUCCCACCAGCCGAGCCCUGGGAGGCGUCCGUGUGCCCCGCCAGGAGGGACCCCGCGCCAGCCUGGAGCUCGUGGCGCAGCCGGCCGCUGCAGCACGCUCCCCACUACAGCAGAAGUCUCCAGCCAGGAUUACCUGCUGCUCAGAGGGAGCAUGCUACUGCCCCUGAAUAAGAGGUAAAUCAACACCACUCUGCGGUCUGCGACUCAUCCCUUUCUCGUCCCCUUUUGAUCACGUUACUUCGGAUUGCAGUUAAUGAAACAGGCCUGUCCGCAGGAGCAGCGCUCGAGCCUGGCCUUUGUCCGGGCUGUCCGGGGCGUUCCUUGCUCCCCACCACGGAUGAGCCCAGUGUGGACUAGCGGUGCUUUGCUGUUCGAUAUCUAGACCCAUCGGCUUAAAAGACACUGUGAAUAAUGUUCAUUAUUGCAUAAGUUAGGCUAGGCAGGUUUGUUUCUCCCUCAUCAGCGCGGGGAGCGCUCGCCUGUUGGGGCAGCAGAUGAAAGCAAUGAGCUUAUCCCUCUGUUCUCCACCUCCCUCUUCCUAGGCAGAGACCUCUUGUUGUUUUAGCAACAACGGCUGUAGUUAAAAAAAAUAAAAAGUACUAUCAAAAACUCCCA